rnacentral:rRNA from 1 species
AGAGUUUGAUCUUGGCUCAGGAUGAACGCUGGCGGCGUGCCUAAUACAUGCAAGUCGAACGCUUUGUGGUUCAACUGAUUUGAAGAGCUUGCUCAGAUAUGACGAUGAACAUUGCAAAGAGUGGCGAACGGGUGAGUAACACGUGGGAAACCUACCUCUUAGCAGGGGAUAACAUUUGGAAACAGAUGCUAAUACCGUAUAACAAUGACAACCGCAUGGUUGUUAUUUAAAAGAUGGUUCUGCUAUCACUAAGAGAUGGUCCCGCGGUGCAUUAGCUAGUUGGUAAGGUAAUGGCUUACCAAGGCGAUGAUGCAUAGCCGAGUUGAGAGACUGAUCGGCCACAAUGGGACUGAGACACGGCCCAUACUCCUACGGGAGGCAGCAGUAGGGAAUCUUCCACAAUGGGCGAAAGCCUGAUGGAGCAACGCCGCGUGUGUGAUGAAGGGUUUCGGCUCGUAAAACACUGUUGUAAGAGAAGAAUGACAUUGAGAGUAACUGUUCAAUGUGUGACGGUAUCUUACCAGAAAGGAACGGCUAAAUACGUGCCAGCAGCCGCGGUAAU